GACGAACGCUGGCGGCGUGCUUAACACAUGCCAGUCGAACGGAAAGGCCCUGCUUGCAGGGUACUCGAGUGGCGAACGGGUGAGUAACACGUGGGUGAUCUGCCCUGCACUUCGGGAUAAGCCUGGGAAACUGGGUCUAAUACCGGAUAGGAGCCAUUUUUAGUGUGAUGGUUGGAAAGUUUUUUCGGUGUAGGAUGAGCUCGCGGCCUAUCAGCUUGUUGGUGGGGUAAUGGCCUACCAAGGCGGCGACGGGUAGCCGGCCUGAGAGGGUGGACGGCCAGAUGGGGGGGGCGCGAGUGCGGAGCGAGCUGGGGGGGGAGGCAGGGGGGAAUGAGGCCGAGUGGGCGCAGGCGUGGUGGGGGGCGGAGGGGGGGGGGGUGAGGGCGUUCGGGUUGUAAUCCCCUGUCGCAUGGGGGGGAGUGUUUGGUGGCGGUACGUAGAAAGGAGGCCCGGGCCAACAACGUGCCAGCAGCCGGGGUAAGAAAGGGAAGAGCCAGCGUCUGCCC
rnacentral:rRNA from 1 species